rnacentral:tRNA from 1 species
GAGAAUGUAGCUCAGUGGUGGAGUGUGUGCUUAGCAUGCAUGAGGUUCUGGGUUCAAUCCCCAGUGCCUCCA